UGGCUCAUUUAGAAGCAGCCA
rnacentral:miRNA from 1 species